UACGAAGGGGGCUAGCGUUGUUCGGAAUUACUGGGCGUAAAGCGCACGUAGGCGGAUAUUUAAGUCAGGGGUGAAAUCCCAGAGCUCAACUCUGGAACUGCCUUUGAUACUGGGUAUCUUGAGUAUGGAAGAGGUGAGUGGAAUUCCGAGUGUAGAGGUGAAAUUCGUAGAUAUUCGGAGGAACACCAGUGGCGAAGGCGGCUCACUGGUCCAUUACUGACGCUGAGGUGCGAAAGGCGUGGGGAGCAAACAGG
rnacentral:rRNA from 1 species